rnacentral:rRNA from 1 species
UCCUACGGGAGGCAGCAGUAGGGAAUCUUCGGCAAUGGACGAAAGUCUGACCGAGCAACGCCGCGUGAGUGAAGAAGGUUUUCGGAUCGUAAAACUCUGUUGGUAGAGAAGAACGUUGGUGAGAGUGGAAAGCUCAUCAAGUGACGGUAACUACCCAGAAAGGGACGGCUAACUACGUGCCAGCAGCCGCGGUAAUACGUAGGUCCCGAGCGUUGUCCGGAUUUAUUGGGCGUAAAGCGAGCGCAGGUGGUUUAUUAAGUCUGGUGUAAAAGGCAGUGGCUCAACCAUUGUAUGCAUUGGAAACUGGUAGACUUGAGUGCAGGAGAGGAGAGUGGAAUUCCAUGUGUAGCGGUGAAAUGCGUAGAUAUAUGGAGGAACACCGGUGGCGAAAGCGGCUCUCUGGCCUGUAACUGACACUGAGGCUCGAAAGCGUGGGGAGCAAACAGGAUUAGAUACCCCGGUAGUCCACGCCGUAAACGAUGAGUGCUAGAUGUAGGGAGCUAUAAGUUCUCUGUAUCGCAGCUAACGCAAUAAGCACUCCGCCUGGGGAGUACGACCGCAAGGUUGAAACUCAAAGGAAUUGACGG